GAACGCACAUUGCGCCCGCCAGUACUCUGGCGGGCAUGCCUGUCCGAGCGUCAUUUCAACCCUCGAGCACUGCUCGGCGUUGGGGGCCUACAGCCGGUAGCCCUCUAAAACCACCGGCGACGUCGCCCGCGGCUCCUUGCGUAGUAAGUCUUUCGCACUGGAACGCGGCGGCGCUGGCCGCUAAAUCGCCCUAUAGGGCACACAGAACGGUUGACCUCGGAUCAGGUAGGAAUACCCGCUGAACUUAAG
rnacentral:misc_RNA from 1 species